CUGCUAUCUCACUAGGGCCCAAAAAAAAAAUAAUAAGAUAACUAAUGCUUUUCUUUGAUGACGUCAAAAUAACCAGAAAUAAGAGGAGCACAGGCAUAUAUAGUUUCUAUUACAGUCAAAGUUUUUGAAAGGGUAAUCAUAAAGAGGCAAAUUGUACUGAAGCUAACAGAUCAUUUUCUUGGAUAAUUAGAUAAAAAAGUAGAAGAUCUUGUGUCUACCUUUUUCUUAGCCCAAAGGGGUUGUGAGUCGUUUAACUCACCCUACUGAUUAAUGCAGUCAAAGCUCUUAGAGCUUCAGGUGGAUAAUUUUUGUCUUAAAAUGUUGCACCGGAAAAUGAACAAGUAAACUGUUUGAAUUUGGUGCUUAGAUGUAUAUGAGGCACAAUUCUUUCUAUGGUGUCUACUCCAAAUUUUUGUGGCAGCUGGGAAUUUUUACAAUCUGGGACCUUUCAGUUGAAAAAAAAAAAAAGAAAA
rnacentral:misc_RNA from 1 species